rnacentral:snRNA from 1 species
GGAUGUCUGGGUGAUCUGGCUGUGACAUCAGUCACCCCAUUGAUCUCCAGGGUUGAUCUGGCUGGUUAAGCGGGUAUCUCCUUCCUCCCUCACUGCUCCACGUGCGUCCCUCCAAAAGCUGUAUGCUUGGUUGAAGAGGACAACCAUCCCCCAUAGAGGAGGACCGGUCUUCGGUCAAAGGUAUAUGAGUAGCUGUGCUCCCCAUAAGCUCUCAAGGAAAAGGGGUUACCUCCAAAGCGCUCAUUCUCCAUUUCCACAUCCGGUCUCAGUUACCAGGAUCA